CCUGUGGGUUCCGUAGGUGAACCUGCGGAGGGAUCAUUACCGAGUUUACAACUCCCAAACCCAAUGUGAACGUUACCAAACUGUUGCCUCGGCGGGAUCUCUGCCCCGGGUGCGUCGCAGCCCCGGACCAAGGCGCCCGCCGGAGGACCAACCAAAACUCUUAUUGUAUACCCCCUCGCGGGUUUUUUACUAUCUGAGCCAUCUCGGCGCCCCUCGUGGGCGUUUCGAAAAUGAAUCAAAACUUUCAACAACGGAUCUCUUGGUUCUGGCAUCGAUGAAGAACGCAGCGAAAUGCGAUAAGUAAUGUGAAUUGCAGAAUUCAGUGAAUCAUCGAAUCUUUGAACGCACAUUGCGCCCGCCAGUAUUCUGGCGGGCAUGCCUGUCCGAGCGUCAUUUCAACCCUCGAACCCCUCCGGGGGGUCGGCGUUGGGGAUCGGCCCUUUACGGGGCCGGCCCCGAAAUACAGUGGCGGUCUCGCCGCAGCCUCUCCUGCGCAGUAGUUUGCACACUCGCAUCGGGAGCGCGGCGCGUCCACAGCCGUUAAACACCCCAAACUUCUGAAAUGUUGACCUCGGAUUCAGGUAGGAAUACCCGCUGAACUAG
rnacentral:rRNA from 1 species